AGAGUUGAUCAUGGCUCAGGACGAACGCUGGCGGCGUGCUUAACACAUGCAAGUCGAACGGAGAAUAGAAGGAAGCUGCGAAUCUAUCUAGUGGCGGACGGGUGAGUAACGCGUGGGUAACCAACCCAUAACACCGGGACAACCCUGGGAAACUGGGGCUAAUACCGGAUACGUUCUUCUUGGGGCAUCCUGAGGGGAAGAAAGGUGGCCUCUGAAUAUGCUGCCGAUUAUGGACGGACCCGCGUCUGAUUAGCUAGUUGGUAGGGUAACGGCCUACCAAGGCGACGAUCAGUAGCCGGCCUGAGAGGGUGACCGGCCACACUGGGACUGAGACACGGCCCAGACUCCUACGGGAGGCAGCAGUGGGGAAUAUUGCGCAAUGGGCGAAAGCCUGACGCAGCAACGCCGCGUGAGUGAGGAAGGCCUUCGGGUUGUAAAGUUCUUUCGGGAGGGGAACAACCGUGGCAGGGAAUGGCCGCGGGAUGACGUGAAUCCCGGAAUAACGCCCCGGCUAACUACGUGCCAGCCGCGGC
rnacentral:rRNA from 1 species